rnacentral:rRNA from 1 species
GACAGAGGGUGCAAACGUUGUUCGGAAUCACUGGGCGUAAAGCGUGCGUAGGCGGUCUUGUAAGUCGGAUGUGAAAGCCCUGGGCUCAACCUAGGAAGUGCACUCGAUACUGCAAGACUUGAGUACUGGAGAGGUUGGUGGAAUUCUCGGUGUAGAGGUGAAAUUCGUAGAUAUCGGGAAGAACAUCGGUGGCGAAGGCGGCCAACUGGACAGAUACUGACGCUGAGGCACGAAAGCGUGGGGAGCAAACAGG